rnacentral:rRNA from 1 species
UACGUAGGGUGCGAGCGUUUGUCCGGAAUUAUUGGGCGUAAAGAGCUCGUAGGCGGCUUGUCGCGUCGAAUGUGAAAACUCGGGGCUCAACUCCGAGCUUGCAUUCGAUACGGGCAGACUUGAGUCGGUAGGGAGGACUGAAUUCCUGGUGUAGCGGCGAAAUGCGCAGAUAUCAGGAGGAACACCGGUGGCGAAGGCGGGUCUCUGGGCCGAUACUGACGCUGAGGAGCGAAAGCGUGGGGAGCGAACAGG